UACGGGAGGCAGCAGUGGGGAAUAUUGCACAAUGGGCGCAAGCCUGAUGCAGCCAUGCCGCGUGUAUGAAGAAGGCCUUCGGGUUGUAAAGUACUUUCAGUCGUGAGGAAGGUGUUAAGGUUAAUAACCUUAGCAAUUGACGUUAGCGACAGAAGAAGCACCGGCUAACUCCGUGCCAGCAGCCGCGGUAAUACGGAGGGUGCGAGCGUUAAUCGGAAUUACUGGGCGUAAAGGGCACGCAGGCGGUUAAUUAAGUUGGAUGUGAAAUCCCCGGGCUUAACCUGGGAAUGGCAUUCAAGACUGGUUAGCUAGAGUCUUGUAGAGGGGGUAGAAUUCCAUGUGUAGCGGUGAAAUGCGUAGAGAUGUGGAGGAAUACCGGUGGCGAAGGCGGCCCCUGGACAAAAGACUGACGCUCAUGUGCGAAAGCGUGGGGAGCAAACAGGAUUAAGAUACC
rnacentral:rRNA from 1 species